UACGUAGGGGGCAAGCGUUGUCCGGAAUCACUGGGUUUAAAGGGUGCGUAGGUGGUCCGUUAAGUCCGUUGUGAAAUCCCUGGGCUCAACCCAGGAAAUGCUUCGGAUACUGGCGGACUUGAGGCUAGUAGGGGUCACUGGAACUGACGGUGGAGCGGUGAAAUGCGUAGAUAUCGUCAGGAACGCCAAUGGUGAAGACAGGUGACUGGGCUAGUUCUGACACUGAGGCACGAAAGCGUGGGGAUCAAACGGG
rnacentral:rRNA from 1 species